GACGUAGGGGGCCAGCGUUGUUCGGAUUCACUGGGCGUAAAGGGUGCGUAGGUGGUGAGGUAAGUCGGAUGUGAAAGCUCCGAGCUCAACUCGGAAAUGGCAUUGGAAACUACCUUGCUAGAGGGUUUGAGGGGGGACUGGAAUACUUGGUGUAGCAGUGAAAUGCGUAGAUAUCAAGUGGAACACCAGUGGCGAAGGCGAGUCCCUGGAAAACUCCUGACACUGAGGCACGAAAGCUAGGGGAGCAAACAGG
rnacentral:rRNA from 1 species